rnacentral:rRNA from 1 species
ACUGAACGCUGGCGGAAUGCUUUACACAUGCAAGUCGAACGGUAGAGGGGGCAACCCCUCGAGAGUGGCGAACGGGUGAGUAAUAUAUCGGAGCGUGCCCAGUCGUGGGGGAUAACGUAGCGAAAGUUACGCUAAUACCGCAUACGAUCUAAGGAUGAAAGCGGGGGAUCGCAAGACCUCGCGCGAGUGGAGCGGCCGAUAUCAGAUUAGGUAGUUGGUGGGGUAAAGGCUCACCAAGCCAACGAUCUGUAGCUGGUCUGAGAGGACGACCAGCCACACUGGAACUGAGACACGGUCCAGACUCCUACGGGAGGCAGCAGUGGGGAAUUUUGGACAACGGACGCAAGUCUGAUCCAGCCAUUCCGCGUGCAGGAUGAAGGCCCUCGGGUUGUAAACUGCUUUUGUACGGAACGAAAAGGUCUCUCUUAAUACGGGGGACUCAUGACGGUACCGUAAGAAUAAGCACCGGCUAACUACGUGCCAGCCGCCGCCGUAAAAC